CAGCCCCUCAUGCUGCACAUGGCACGUGUAUCUCUGCUCCUCUCCAGAAGACACCACCACAGCUGCCCACUUCUGGAAGGUCCCAUCUCCCGCAGGCCUGGUCUCCACAAGCUCUGCGUCCUGGGUGUGGUCCUGCCCAUCACGCUGCCAGGUCAGGGUGAUCUCCGCAGGGUAGAAGCCCAGGGCCCAGCACCUCAGGGUCACCUCACGGUCAGAGAUGGGGUGGCGGGUCACGCGUGUGUUGGGAGAUUCUGAG